UGAAAGAAAGUCAAUUUGAUAUUGAAAUGCGCAUUUGCUCUAUCGUCACACAACACACAAACUAGUUUUUGAUUUUUAUUAGUGCAUGGAUAAUAAAAUAGUGCCUUUCAUCUUCUCUCUAUCUAUUUCUUUGUAUUUAUUGCAUUUUCCUAGGAACAUGUGUUGAGUCCGGUUCUUAGGGCUCUCUGAAUGCAGGUUUUCUUAGCACGGUUUCGUAGUUAUGUUGCUGAUGUGGCAUAGUAGUUAAUGAUGACAUGGAGAGGGAGGUUGUAGCUUAGCUAACAUACAACCCUUGCAUGUGGCAAUAUGCAAAAAAAUCUGCUAGCUCACAUGUAUAGAUGAUCCCUAAAUCAUUAAAUUUAGAUACAACCCUUAAGAAAUAAUGGAUUGGGCUAGUUGUCUCUUAAGUUUUAUAUCUUCUAGGAUAAUAUAUGCUAAUACAUGGUGCGUUGGGAGAGGCCUUAGGGCAACUCAAACGCAGAUCACCAAACCGGCCGCAAAAAUCUGGAUCGGGCGAUCCAGACACUUUUUCGCGAUCCAACAAUGGUCACCUAAAUUGUCCAGGUUGUUCGGAUAUUCGAAAUCCCGCAAACCAGGAACAAGCUUAAGUUGUGGGGAGGUUUCGGGGAGCUCGGAUGUCCGCCACGCCGGACCCAACCAGAAAUCCACUUUCCCCUCUCCUGCCACGUCUGCUUGCUCUCAGCGCCGGAUUCAUGCCAGUCAAAGCGGACGUGAUCAGACAGCCGCCUACCCGCAUUCAUGUCAACUGAUUGCCUGUGUGCAUGACAUACACACCAGUACGUCGACUGUCGACCGAGAAGCCUACUCUAGCCACCCACAUUCAAUCCACAUAUAUAGUUGCCCUGGCUAUUUAAACAGGCUGGCCACACCCAAAAACCCUACCCCUCUGAGCCCUUUCUCCCACCGUCUGAGCCGGCGACCGACCACCCCACCUGUUCGCACCCACGUAUGUCAUCCACCUUCGCAAAGGUAUGGACCGCUCAUGGGUGGUGGAGGCGGUUGUCGUUGUGACGCCCCCGAUUCAAUCGUACACUAAUCAUGCACGCAAAUGUGUACGAUCAAGAUCAGGGACUCACGGGAAGAUAUCACAACACAACUCUACAACAUAACUAAGUCAUACAAGCAUCAUAAUACAAGCCAGGGGCCUCGAGGGCUCGAAUACAAUUGCUCGAUCAUAGACGAGUCAGUGGAAGCAACAAUAUCUGAGUACAGACAUAAGUUAAACAAGUUUGCCUUAAGAAGGCUAGCACAAAAGUAGCAACGAUCGAAAAGGCAAGGCCUCCUGCCUGGGACCUCCUAACUACUCCUCGAAGCCAAACUCCAUGUAGAAUCAUCCUCGGGAUCUCUAGCUCCUGGACUCCAGCAUCUGGUUGCGACAAUCAGGUAUAGAAAGGGGAAAAGAAGGAGAAAAGCAACUGUGAGUACUCAUCCAAAGUACUCGCAAGCAAGGAGCUACACUACAUAUGCAUGGGUAUAUGUGUAGAGGGCCAUAUCGGUGGACUGAACUGCAGAAAGCCAGAAUAAGGGGGGGUAACUAGUCCUGUCGAAGACUACGCUUCUGGCAGCCUCCAUCUUGCAGCAUGUAGAAGAGAGUAGAUUGAAGUCCUCCAAGUAGCAUCGUAUAGCAUAAUCCUACCCAGCGAUCCCCUCCUCGUCGCCCUGUUAGAGAGCGAUCACCGGGUUGUAUCUGGCACUUGGAAGGGUGUGUUUUAUUAAGUAUCCGGUUCUGGUUGUCAUAAGGUCAAGGUACAACUCCGGGUCAUCCUUUUACCGAGGGACACGGCUAUUCGAAUAGAUAAACUUCCCUGCAGGGGUGCACCACAUAACCCAACACGCUCGAUCCCAUUUGGCCGGACACACUUUUCUGGGUCAUGCCCGGCCUCGGAAGAUCAACACGUCGCAGCCCCACCUAGGCACAACAGAGAGGUCAGCACGCCGGUCUAAAUCCUAUGGCGCAGGGGUCUGGGCCCAUCGCCCAUUGCACACCUGCACGUUGCGUACGCGGCCGGAAGCAAACCUAGCCUAGUGGCGUUCCAGUCCAAUCCGGCGCGCGCCGCUCCGUCGCUGAUGUCACGAAGGCUUCGGCUGAUACCACGACGUCGAGUGCCCAUAACUGUUCCCGCGUAGUUGGUUAGUGCGUAUAGACCAAAUGGCCAGACUCAGAUCAAAUAACAAGAACUCGUUAAGAGUGUUAUUUUGAAGUAACCGCGGACGCCGUCCAGGGCCAGGCCCACCUCUUGCCUAGGUGGUCUCAACCUGCCCUGUCGCUCCGCCACAAAGAUCCACUUGCGGGUACUCCUACGAGCCGACCCGACUUUAGUCACCACAGGUGUCAUGUAUAGAGUAUAUAAGUAUAAACCCGUGAUCACCGCCCAAGUGAUCACGGCCCGAUAGUAUAGCACAGCAGACGGACAAGAAUGUAAGGCCACUGAUGGAAAACUAGCAUCAUAUACUAAGCAUGUAGGAUUGCGGGUAAAGGUAACAACAGUAGUAGUAAGGACAGGCUAUGCAUCAGGAUAGGAUUAACGGAAAGCAAUAACAUGCUACACUACUCUAAUGCAAGCAUUAUAGAGAAGAAUAGGCGAUAUCUGGUGAUCAAGGGGGGGCUUGCCUGAUUGCUCUGGCAAGAAGGAGGGGUCGUCAACUCCGUAGUCGAACUGGGCAGCAGCAGCGUCGAUCUCGUAGUCUACCGGAGAGAAGAGGGGGAAUAAACAGUAAAUACAAUGCAAACAAAUGCAUGGCGAUGCAUGACAUUACAAAGCUUGAUGCUAGGUGUGCCCAACGCGGUAAGAGAUGGUACCGGCGAAGGGGGGGAAACAUCCGGGAAAGUAUCCCCGGUGUUUCGCGUUUUCGGACAGAUGAACCGGAGGGGGAAAGUUGUGAGUUCGAUAUGUUAGGGAUGUGUGGCGGACGAACGGGCUGUGUAUCCGGAUUUGUCUCGUCGUUCUGAGCAACUUUCAUGUAGAAAGUAUUUUCAUCCGAGUUACGGAUUAUUUUAUAUGAUUUACUAAAGUUUUAAAUCAUUUUUAGAAUUUGUUUAAUUAAUUUAAUUCAACAUUAUCCAGCAGUCAACAGAGGUGUCGACUGGUCAAACUGACGUGUGGGCCCAGUGGGACCCACCUGUCAUACACUGUUAGGUUAAUUAGGGUUUAGGUUAAACUAAUUCCUGCUUAAUUAAACUAACUAAUUAAUUAAACACGAUUAAUUAACUUAAUUAAUUCAUUAAUUAAUUAUUAAUUCAUUGUAUUUUUAUUUACUUAUUUAUUAAAAAACGUUCUGGGCAGGGCCCCCCGUCAUAGGCCCUGGGGGCCUUAUCGGGCACACGGGCGCGGGUGGGCGCCGGGACGUGCGGGUGCGGGCACCCGAACUGGACGCGGCCAGUCGGGGCCACGGCGAGGGGAAAAACGCCGGCGCAGCACCGGCGUGGCAGCGGCGAGGCCACGGCGGGGCAACAGGGGAUGAGCAGGGCGGCGGCCGGCGUGGAGCUCCGGCGGGAGGCAGAGGCGGCGAGCACUGGGGCGGCGCCGGAGGGCGCGGGAAGCAACGGUCGACGGCAGGCGCGGGAAGCAUCAGUCGACGGCAGCCAGGGCACGGCGAGGCUCAGGCGAGGUCGGGAAGUGGCCGACCGCGGAUGCGGGCGCGGGCAGGAGCGAGGUAGCAGGAGGGUAAGGGCGCACAGUCCAGGCGGGACGUGGGGAAGGAGGCCGCGGCCCCAGGGCAGCAGCAGGCGCUGGGCGCACGAGCACGCGAGCGCUUCGGCGUGGGUAGGCGUGGCCAGGAGCAGGGGGCCGCGGGUGGGCGAGCCAGCGCGAGCUGCGGUGGGGCGACGAGCGGGCGCAGUGCGCGCGGAGGGAGCGGGGGGGGUCGCGGUGACUCAGGGACGACGCGGGCGCGCGUGGGUGACUGGGCGUGUGCGCUCGUGCGUACGGGGUCGGGGAAGCGAAGAGGCCUGGGGCCUCACCGCGCGUUUGUAGGGAAUGGGGCAGCGGGGCGUGGGGAGGACGACUGGGACGACCAGGCGACGGGGGAAGCAGUCCGGCGAAGGCGUCCGGCGACGCCCGGGCGGUCCUCGGGCGACGGCGACGAACGGUUCCCCCUCCUCGAUCCCGAUCCAAUCGGGGGAAGAGGGGGGAUAUUUUGCGGGGGGAGUGUGGGGGUGUCGGUGGGUGAGUGGGGGAGUGGGGGAGGUUAUGGGGUGCGGGGUGGGCCGGCCAGGUGGUUUGGCCCAAUGGCCUGCUGGGCCGGAGCCCGGGUGGGUUUUCUUUCCUCCCUCUUCUUUUGUUUGUUUUCCCUUCUGUAUUUUCUUUCUUUUAUUUAUUUUCUUUUCUGUUUUAUUUCAAUUUAAAUUAUUUAGGCAUUUUAUAAAAAUGUGUUUAUUACACCAUAUUUACACAUGCAAUAUUUAGUACAAACCGAACAUUUUUAUUUUAAUGUUUGAAAACUUUUAUUAUUUACCAAACUUUGAAUUUGAAUUUUGGACCGGUUUUGAUCUAACGAUAGAUUAGCAACAGUAACCGUGGUGAAGUGGCACCAUUAGCGUGGGAUUAUUGUAGCUUGAUUAUCCGGGCGUUACAAAACUCCUCCACUACAAGAAAUCUCGUCCCGAGAUUUAGAAGGUAGAAGGAAACAAUGCGGGGUAUUCAUCACGCAGGCGAUCAUCGCGUUCCCAAGUGGCUUCAUCUUCAGAAUGGUGCGACCACUGGACUUUGAGGAACUUGAUCGCCUUCUGACGUGUGCGGCGUUCAGCUUGGUCGAGAAUGCGGACCGGAUGCUCUUUAUAGGAGAGGUCCUGCUGCAAUUCGAGCACUUCAUGAUCCACUGCUCGGAUUGGGUCCUUGAAGCAACGGCGGAGCUGCGACACGUGGAACACAUCGUGAACCUGAGAAAGGUUCGGCGGAAGCUCCAGUUGGUAUGCCACUUUUCCACGCCUUUUGAGAAUAGUGAAUGGGCCAAUAUAGCGAGGAGCUAGUUUGCCCUUGAUCCCGAAGCGGUGAGCACCCUUCAUUCGUUUAACUCAAAGAUAAGCCUUUUUGCCAGGUUGAUAGACCAUGUCUUUAUGAUGACGGUCAUACUGACUCUUCUGACGCGGCUGAGCAGUCUUGAGAUUCUCGCGAAUAAUGCGGACUUGUUCUUCGGCGUGUUGGAUAAUAUCCGGACCAAAGAGUGGACGUUCCCCGGUUUCUGACCAGUUCAGAGGGGUUCGGCACUUUCGUCCAUAUAACACUUCGAAGGGGGCCAUCUUCAGACUAGCUUGAUAGCUAUUAUUAUAAGAGAACUCAGCAUACGGGAGAGAUUCCUCCCAUUUCUUGCCGAAGGAAAUAACACAAGCUCGAAGCAUGUCUUUGAGAACUUGGUUGACGCGUUCAACUUGCCCUUGCGAUUGAGGAUGAAACGCAGUACUGAAUGACAGAUGAGUUCCCAUAGCUUCUUGGAAACUUGCCCAGAAUCUUGAAGUGAAUAAGCUGCCACGGUCUGAGCUGAUAACCAAUGGAAUACCGUGGAGUGAAACAAUCCUGGACAUAUAGAGCGUUGACAGCUGACUAGCAGUGAUCGUUUCUUUGACCGCCAGAAAAUGUGCAACUUUGGAAAGCCGGUCAAUGACGACAAGAAUAGCGUCAUUACCUUUCUGUGAUUUGGGAAAUCCAGUGACGAAGUCCAUCUCAACAUGGUCCCAUUUCCAUUCAGGAAUAGAGAUAGGUUGCAGAGUUCCAGCAGGCCUUUGAUGUUCUGCUUUGAUACGACGGCAAACGUCACACUCAGCAACAUAACGAGCAAUGUCUUGCUUCAUAUUAGACCACCAGAAUCUCUGACGGAUGUCUUGGUACAUCUUUGUACUACCAGGAUGGAUACAUAGAGGCGUAUCAUGAGCUUCUUUCAUAACUUCCUGUGUCAUAUCCAGGUUUUUCUCUGCACAUGGCACCACUAGGCGGCCCUUGAAGUACAAAGUGCCAUCUUCAGCAAUAGUGAAGAAUGAGGGCUUUCCUUCUGCGAGGUAGCGCUUAAUCUUGUGGGCUUCAGAGUCAUAUCCCUGUAUUCUCUUGAUGGAGUCCAAGAGAUCUGGUUCGAUGGCCAGGGUAUUGAGGGAACCCUGGGAAACAACACGGAGGUUCAUCUUGCGAAACUCCUUAGGAGGGGGAGCGAGUGCACCCGGAGGAACAAUAUGGAGGUUCAGCUUUCUGAAUUCUUCAACAAGCGAGGGCUGAACUUUGUGAACCUGGAGGUGGUUGCAGUAAGACUUGCGGCUCAAGGCAUCAGCCAUUACAUUAGCCUUGCCUGGCGUAUAGGAAAUACCCAAGUCAAAGUCUGCAACAAUCUCCAUCCAUCUCUGCUGACGGAGGUUCGGGUCUGGCUGAGUAAACAGAUACUUCAGACUUUGGUGGUCAGUGAAGAUCUCGCAACGAUUACCGAGAAGGUAAUGUCGCCACUGCUUCAGCGCAUGAAUGACAGCAGCAAGUUCGAGGUCGUGAACUGGGUAGUUCUCUUCGUCAGGGCGCAAUUGCCGAGAGGCAUAAGCAAUCACUUUGCGGUCUUGCAUUAGGACACAGCCUAAUCCUUGACGGGAAGCGUCGCAGUAAAUGACGAAGUCCUUCUUAGUAUCAGGUGGAGCUAGAACUGGGGCAGAAGUCAACUUGUCUUUGAGUGCCUGGAAACUUUCCUGACAUUUGUCUGUCCAUUGGAACUUGACGCCCUUAUGCAACAGGUUAGUCAGAGGCCUGGCGAUCUUGGAGAAGUUCUCGACGAAUCAACGGCAAUAGCUGGCGAGACCGAGAAAACUUCUGACUUGCUUAACGUUCUUGGGAGGAGUCCAAUCAAGGAUAGCCUGGACUCGUUUAGGGUUGACAGCAAUACCAUCCUUAGAGAUGACAUGCCCAAGAUAGGUUACUUCGGGUAGCCAGAAUUCACAUUUGGAGAACUUGGCAUAUAGUUGAUGCUCUCGUAGCUUUUCCAGCACAAGCCGAAGAUGUUCAGCAUGUUCCUCUUCGUUCUUGGAAAAUACCAGGAUAUCAUCCAGAUAAACCACGACGAACUUGUCGAGGUAAUCCAUGAAUAUAUAGUUCAUCAGACGAGAGAAGGUGGCUGGAGCAUUGGUUAAACCGAAAGACAUGACGGUGUACUUGUAUGAACCAUAUCGAGUCACGAAGGCGGUCUUUGGGAUAUCCUCUUCGCGAACACGGAUCUGGUGGUAACCCAACCUCAAGUCGAGCUCAGAGAACACUGAUGAACCCGCCAGUUGAUCAUAUAGAUCUGAUCCGAGGAAGAGGGUAUUUAUUCUGAAUGGUAGCUUGGUUUAUAGGACAGUAGUCUUGAACUAAUCGGUUUGUCCCAUCCUUCUUCUUGACAAAGAGAAGGUGCUCCCCAAGAAGAGCAACUUGGGCGAAUGAAUCCUUUGCGAAGAGAUUUGUCGAUUUCCUCCUUAAGCUCAAGGAGUUCAUGCGGCGGCAUCUUGUAGGGUCGCUUGGCUAUAGGAGUGGUGCCUGGUUUCAAGUCGAUGAUGAAUUCGACAGCUCUAGCAGGGGGAAUCCCUGGAAGUUCUUCAGGAAAGACGUCGAGGAAUUCACGCACGACGGGAAUGUUUUCAAUGCCCUCGAGUGGUGCAACGUUCAAUGCAUAGAGCCUGGCCUCGGCAUUUUGCACCAGAUGAGCUUGGUAAGUAACUAUUUCAUCUGAAGGGUGAAGUAGAUGGACGGUCUUAGUGGCGCAAACUAUAGAAGCAGUAUGCGCUUUCAACCAAUCCAUCCCCAAAAUGAGGUCGAUGUUAGACGACUUCAGGAUAAUGGGAGAGGCAUAGAAUUCCAGUCCUUCGAUUUCCACGGGGACGUCGAUGCCAACCAGGGAGGUUUGACACUGUCCCACGGGGGUUUUGACCACUACCGAGGUGUUCAUCUCCUCACAUUUAACGUCGUGCUUGUAUGCGAAAUCUUCUGACAUGAAUGAAUGCGAUGCACCUGUAUCAAAUAAAACGGAUGCUGGUACUGAAUUUACGAGGAGUGUACCCAUCACAGUAGCAGGCUGGUCUUGAGCUUCAUUGAGAUCAACGUGGUUGGCAUGAACACGACCAUAAGAGUUGGCCUUGUUGCUGCGGGGCUGGUUGCUUCCAUGGCCAGUUGCUGGAAGGGCCAGUUGAUUCUGGUUCUGGUUGCAUUCUCUAGCACGGUGUCCUGGUUGACCACACCUGAAGCAUAGGCCAUUAUUGGGAGUGGGAACAGGAGCUUGGGGUGGUGGAGCUGGAAGUCUUGGCUGCCUAGAUGGUGGUGGAGGCAGACGAGGUGCAGCAUAGGUCUGCCUUGGGGCAGAUGCAUUUGGACGGUACAUGCUGUUCGGGAUCCAUAUCUUACGCUUCUAUGAGGGCGGGCCCGAAGAUGAGCCCGUGUCACGGUUGCGCCUGUGAGAGCUCUGGUAUUCCUGCAGACCAGUUUCGACAUUGAUGGCCUUGUUCACCAAGGUGGCGAAAUCAGCAAAGUCAUGCACUAGAAGUGCGAGCUUGAUGUCAGCUUGAAGGCCAUCACGGAACUUCUCCUGUCUGCGUGCAUCAGUUGCAAUGUCCUCUUCAGCAUAGCGAGACAAGUCCAGAAACUCCUGCUGAUAAGCUUCAACAGUUUUGUUGCCUUGGGUGAGGUUGCGGAACUCACGCUUCUUCCGGUCCAUGACUCCCUGAGGAAUGAAGCGGGCACGGAAAGCAGCUUGGAAGUCUGGCCAAGUGAUGAUUGUUCCAGCUGGCAGAGUACGCCUGUGGCUGUCCCACCAUUGAGCUGCGGGUCCCUUCAGGAAGAAGGAAGCAAAGGUGACAUAGCUGGCAGGGGCUACAUCGGCCGACUCCAUCUCAUAGGUGAUGUCACGGAGCCAGUCAUCAGCAUCCAGAGGCUGAGUUGAGCUGCGGUACACAGUUAGGUUGAGGCGCAUGAAAUCCUGCAGAGUUACUGGGGUUGGUUGCUGGUCCAUAUUGGGGCGAGGAAACUGAGCCAUCAUAUUUUCCAUGAAUUGGCGGUUCAGUUCGAACUGUUGGAUCAUACCAGCCAUGUACUCAGAUGGUGGUGGGGCACUGCCACCACUACCACGACCACCUGGUCUAACCAUCCUGCUAAUAUAUAACAGGGGUAGUUCAGCAUUGAGAAAUUUGCAAAGACAAGAAUCAUUCAUGAUGAAACAUGCAUAAUGAAAGGAGCACGAUAGCUACUACAUAGUAGUCGGCAUAACUUACAAAAGGGGUCAUGCAUAGAGUUCAGUACAUAGAGUUCAGUACACAGAGUUCAGUACAUAGACUAAAACAACAUAGGCGGCACACAGGCUCGCGGCGAAUGCAUCUAACACUAACAAGCAAGCCUACAUCAGUCCCAAGAGGUACUGUGGAGGUAGGUGUAGCCUGAAAGCUGGUAGUGUCGCAUCGGGAACUCCACGUCAGCAACCUGUGGUCCGUGAAUACUCUGGUGCAGAACCUGACGCUCAGGUGGCAGAAGAGGUCCAAGUGCGGGAGAGUGGCCUCCCACAUCUGGCCAGCCGACACCCUGGGGCAUCACAGUCCUGGCUGGGUAGAUCGCAGAACGGGGCAGCUCCCUAGAUCGGACAAAGGGGUGCAACAGCGUCAGAGCACGGUAAAGGUGCUGACGGGUGGUGUACAACUCGUGACGAAGAGCUCGGUUAGCUCGAUCCAGCCCAUCAGCAUGCAGAACCAGGUUCUGAUGGUAGAAGGGCUCUCGGGUGACAGUGGAGUAGGCAGCAGUGUAGUAUCCCUCCGCACCAACAUCAGAUGCGAUAGCAAUGUGCCUGAAAGGGGAGGUGUCCAACUCCCGAUACUCUCCACGAAGACGUGUCAGAGCAGCAUAAGCAGUAUCGUGGACAGCCAUAUCGAUGGUCACUCCAACACCAUGAGCGGUGUGCAGCACAAUAGUGGAGUCAUACUCCCGCGAGUAGAGGUGGACGAUGGCACGGUACUGCUUCGUGUACUCAGGGUGCCAGCGAAAACCCAGAUAGGUCAUCAUCUCAGCUAGCACAGCAGGUGAUCCCGAGGCACCAAUGGCCGUCGUGUGGCGCACGACCUGCCUCGUGGGUUUCAUCUGAAAGCAAAGAUGUUUCAAAGGAGUCAAAUGACAGUGUGUGAAUUGUUCAAAAUACUAUUCUAAGAAAUAACUAUGGCUUAUCCAACUUUGGGGUGAAUGCGGUCACGGGAUCCUAGUGUUAGAGUUAGUAAAUUCGUUUAACCCGAGUAGAAGAGAGUUCAGAGUCCCAGAGUAAAGGUCGAGGAGUAAAAGAUCCUAGUACCACCCAAUGGCGACGUGGGCCCGUAAGACACACAGCCAUGUUAGUAAAAGUUUUGUAAUGUCUAGACUCGACUUCAGCCAAGGAGUGUGGAAAGGGGGAUUCCUACAGGCAGUCGGCUCUGAUACCAACUUGUGACGCCCCCGAUUCAAUCGUACACUAAUCAUGCACGCAAAUGUGUACGAUCAAGACCAGGGACUCACAGGAAGAUAUCACAACACAACUCUACAACAUAAAUAAGUCAUACAAGCAUCAUAAUACAAGCUAGGGGCCUCGAGGGCUCGAAUACAAUUGCUCGAUCAUAGACGAGUCAGCGGAAGCAACAAUAUCUGAGUACAGACAUAAGUUAAACAAGUUUGCCUUAAGAAGGCUAGCACAAAAGUAGCAACGAUCGAAAAGGCAAGGCCUCCUGCCUGGGACCUCCUAACUACUCCUCGAAGCCGAACUCCAUGUAGAAUCAUCCUCGGGAUCUCUAGCUCCUGGACUCCAGCAUCUGGUUGCGACAAUCAGGUAUAGAAAGGGGAAAAGAAGGAGAAAAGCAACUGUGAGUACUCAUCCAAAGUACUCGCAAGCAAGGAGCUACACUACAUAUGCAUGGGUAUAUGUGUAGAGGGCCAUAUCGGUGGACUGAACUGCAGAAAGCCAGAAUAAGGGGGGGUAACUAGUCCUGUCGAAGACUACGCUUCUGGCAGCCUCCAUCUUGCAGCAUGUAGAAGAGAGUAGAUUGAAGUCCUCCAAGUAGCAUCGUAUAGCAUAAUCCUACCCAGCGAUCCCCUCCUCGUCGCCCUGUUAGAGAGCGAUCACCGGGUUGUAUCUGGCACUUGGAAGGGUGUGUUUUAUUAAGUAUCCGGUUCUGGUUGUCAUAAGGUCAAGGUACAACUCCGGGUCAUCCUUUUACCGAGGGACACGGCUAUUCGAAUAGAUAAACUUCCCUGCAGGGGUGCACCACAUAACCCAACACGCUCGAUCCCAUUUGGCCGGACACACUUUUCUGGGUCAUGCCCGGCCUCGGAAGAUCAACACGUCGCAGCCCCACCUAGGCACAACAGAGAGGUCAGCAUGCCGGUCUAAAUCCUAUGGCGCAGGGGUCUGGGCCCAUCGCCCAUUGCACACCUGCAUGUUGCGUACGCGGCCGGAAGCAAACCUAGCCUAGUGGCGUUCCAGUCCAAUCCGGCGCGCGCCGCUCCGUCGCUGAUGUCACGAAGGCUUCGGCUGAUACCACGACGUCGAGUGUCCAUAACUGUUCCCGCAUAGUUGGUUAGUGCGUAUAGACCAAAUGGCCAGACUCAGAUCAAAUACCAAGAACUCGUUAAGCGUGUUAUUUUGAAGUAACCGCGGACGCCGUCCAGGGCCAGGCCCACCUCUCGCCUAGGUGGUCUCAACCUGCCCUGUCGCUCCGCCACAAAGAUCCACUUGCGGGUACUCCUACGAGCCGACCCGACUUUAGUCACCACAGGUGUCAUGUAUAGAGUAUAUAAGUAUAUACCCGUGAUCACCGCCCAAGUGAUCACGGCCCGAUAGUAUAGCACAGCAGACGGACAAGAAUGUAGGGCCACUGAUGGAAAACUAGCAUCAUAUACUAAGCAUGUAGGAUUACGAGUAAAGGUAACAACAGUAGUAGCAAGAACAGGCUAUGCAUCAGGAUAGGAUUAACGGAAAGCAGUAACAUGCUACACUACUCUAAUGCAAGCAUUAUAGAGAAGAAUAGGCGAUAUCUGGUGAUCAAGGGGGGCUUGCCUGAUUGCUCUGGCAAGAAGGAGGGGUCGUCAGCUCCGUAGUCGAACUGGGCAGCAGCAGCGUCGGUCUCGUAGUCUACUGGAGAGAAGAGGGGGAAGAAACAGUAAAUACAAUGCAAACAAAUGCAUGGCGAUGCAUGACAUGACAAAGCGUGAUGCUAGGUGUGCCCAACGCGGUAAGAGAUGAUACCGGCGAAGGGGGGGAAACAUCCGGGAAAGUAUCCCCGGUGUUUCGCGUUUUCGGACAGGUGAACCGGAGGGGGAAAGUUGCGAGUUCGAUAUGUUAGGGAUGUGUGGCGGACGAACGGGCUGCGUAUCCGGAUUUGUCUCGUCGUUCUGAGCAACUUUCAUGUAGAAAGUAUUUUCAUCCGAGUUACGGAUUAUUUUAUAUGAUUUACUAAAGUUUUAAAUCAUUUUUAGAAUUUGUUUAAUUAAUUUAAUUCAACAUUAUCCAGAACAGUGCAUGCUGACGUCAUCAUGACGUCAGCAGUCAACAGAGGUGUUGACUGGUCAAACUGACGUGUGGGCCCAAUGGGACCCACCUAUCAUACACUGUUAGGUUAAUUAGGGUUUAGGUUAAACUAAUUCCUGCUUAAUUAAACUAACUAAUUAAUUAAACACGAUUAAUUAACUUAAUUAAUUGUUAAUUCAUUUUAUUUUUAUUUACUUAUUUAUUAAAAAAACGUUAUGGGCGGGGCCCCCUGUCAUAGGCCCUGGGGGCCUUAGCGGGCACACGGGCGCGGGUGGGCGCCGGGACGUGCGGGUGCGGGCGCCCGAACUGGACGCAGCCAGUCGGGGCCACGGCGAGGGGAAAAACGCCGGCGCGGCACCGGCGUGGCAGCGGCGAGGCCACGNNNNNNNNNNNNNNNNNNNNNNNNNNNNNNNNNNNNNNNNNNNNNNNNNNNNNNNNNNNNNNNNNNNNNNNNNNNNNNNNNNNNNNNNNNNNNNNNNNNNNNNNNNNNNNNNNNNNNNNNNNNNNNNNNNNNNNNNNNNNNNNNNNNNNNNNNNNNNNNNNNNNNNNNNNNNNNNNNNNNNNNNNNNNNNNNNNNNNNNNNNNNNNNNNNNNNNNNNNNNNNNNNNNNNNNNNNNNNNNNNNNNNNNNNNNNNNNNNNNNNNNNNNNNNNNNNNNNNNNNNNNNNNNNNNNNNNNNNNNNNNNNNNNNNNNNNNNNNNNNNNNNNNNNNNNNNNNNNNNNNNNNNNNNNNNNNNNNNNNNNNNNNNNNNNNNNNNNNNNNNNNNNNNNNNNNNNNNNNNNNNNNNNNNNNNNNNNNNNNNNNNNNNNNNNNNNNNNNNNNNNNNNNNNNNNNNNNNNNNNNNNNNNNNNNNNNNNNNNNNNNNNNNNNNNNNNNNNNNNNNNNNNNNNNNNNNNNNNNNNNNNNNNNNNNNNNNNNNNNNNNNNNNNNNNNNNNNNNNNNNNNNNNNNNNNNNNNNNNNNNNNNNNNNNNNNNNNNNNNNNNNNNNNNNNNNNNNNNNNNNNNNNNNNNNNNNNNNNNNNNNACGACGGGGACGACCGGGCGACGGGGGAAGCAGUCCGGCGAAGGCGUCCGGCGACGCCCGGGCGGUCCUCGGGCGACGGCGACGAACGGUUCCCCCUCCUCGAUCCCGAUCCAAUCGGGGGAAGAGGGGGGAUAUUUUGCGGGGGGAGUGUGGGGGUGUUGGUGGGUGAGUGGGGGGAGUGGGGUGGGGUGCGGGGUGGGCCGGCCAGGUGGUUUGGCCCAAUGGCCUGCUGGGCCGGAGCCCGGGUGGGUUUUCUUUCCUCCCUCUUCUUUUGUUUGUUUUCUCUUUGGUAUUUUCUUUCUUUUAUUUAUUUUCUUUUCUGUUUUAUUUCAAUUUAAAUUAUUUAGGCAUUUUAUAAAAAUGUGUUUAUUGCACCAUAUUUACACAUGCAAUAUUUAGUACAAACCGAACAUUUUUAUUUUAAUGUUUGAAAACUUUUAUUAUUUACCAAACUUUGAAUUUGAAUUUUAGACCGGUUUUGAUCUAACGAUAGAUUAGCAACAGUAACCGUGGUGACGUGACAUCAUUAGCGUGGGAUUACUGUAGCUUGAUUAUCCGGGCGUUACAGUCGUCGCAUGACAGCACCGAAAUCACGACAAGGUCCAUGCCACGGACGCCAAGCCUUUAUUGCGGCGGGCUAACCUCCAAGCUUUCCGAAGCAGUGGACAACAACCCUAUGGUCAUGGCAGAGAUCGCAAUGGAGGAGGUGGAGAAGGGGGGAAACGAGCACCCGUGCCAGCGGAGAAGUCGCUGGUGUCUGUGUUCCGUCUGUUGCAGGAGGAGCAAAAGUACAAUCUCUUGCUCCUCGAGGAGCAUCGACUAGAGAUGGAUCGGCUCUUAGCAGAGCACGCGUUCGAAGAUGCUGUCGCGGUCAUGGUUGCAAUGGACCCGCGCAUUGUUGACAAAAACCGAGAUGUGCUUGAUUCCAUGCACAGCGCCCUCUCUAUCUACCGCGAGCGUUGGCAACUCCGCGUCAACGAGGGCGGAGCACCGGCUCUUCGAGGAUUUGGAGGCGAUGACACAUCGGACCAACACCACGAUAAUGGCAGCUCUGCCUCUGUUAACUUCGGCCACCAAUGACGAUAAGGCCAAACCGCCCCACAUGGCCGUUGAUCUCACCUCCGACGGGAGUAGAUCAGGUUUUUAGUUGUUUUUAGGGUUUUCUUUGUUAUGUAUAAAUUACUUCAAAAACGAAUGAAAAAUCGGUGUCCCUUUUAUUUGAUCACUCUGGUUGGAUGGCCUCCGCCCGACUAGCUAUCAACGAACAUGUCCAACAAUUUUUUAAGGCAUACACUUAUGUGUAUUCAAGCGAGCGGCAAACCAGUACAUGUACGAUUACAAAUACAAAUAGACAAGGAGGAUAUACAUGAAGGAUCUGCCACAGCCAAACUAGAAAAAGACCAACACAGUAAAAAAAAGCAAAGAAGUCCUUGGUCUUCCUCUCCACUACAGAGAUCACCGCUUGAUGUGGACCUCCACCGCCGUCAAACACACCGCCUGAGAAGGAGAAGAACGUCGACAACCUCGAACCUUGGAGGUGAAGAAACCCCUCACAUGAAAGCGUUGAUGAGUGGCAGUAGGCACCUACUCCAACGAGCAGGAUCUGAAACUUUCAAUCACAUCGGACCGAAGCAAUUUCCAGUCCGAAAACGCUAUCUGAGCUCCUCAAGCUCCAGAUCCGGGCCUAGAGCCACACUGCCUUCAUCAAGACAGUCAAAUCUAUCCGCCACACAUCCAACAAGCUGACAGUCACCUUCGUUGUCCUUCAAGAGGGAUUCACCGUCGCCACCGCGACACGUCGAGACAAAGGACGUUCGUCUCUUGACUCCAACACCAGGGGGCCAAACGGUCGAAACUCAAGUGUCCAACCACCCUGCACUCACCAGUCUACGAUCGACGACGGAGCUGACGCCACUCGCACGAGGAGAGGACCGGAAGGACUUAUUUCCAAGAAACAACACCGCCCCGUCUCACCACCACCGCCAAGAACCAAACCUCUAGAAGGAUCUAGAACUAUACAGGCCAACCGGACGGAGAACCGGGUUCCCCGCCACCUCCCGUGCCUAAAAGGUGCUCGGAGGCUAUAGGAAGCCACUGCCUCGCCGGCGGCAAGCACCAACCUCCUUGACUGUAGACAUCCAGUGCCUAAAAUUUGGUGAUCAACAUUAAUCCACUUUCUUUUACACUUCUGUAUCUUACUCUAUCUUGUAUUUUAGCAUUAUCUAAAAUAACUGGAGUUGCCCUUACAUAAGAGCACACUUCCUUACCUUUCCACGUCUCUCAUUCACACGGGCAAAAGUGCCACAUAAGCAGACUGUAAACGGAAAAUACCUUUUGGAACAUUGUGGUAAUUACACCUGAUAACUGAUUUUAUUUUUAAAAAAAUCAGAAAAAGUCAAAACAUUCCAAAACUUUUUUCCCAACAAACUUGAGUUGUCGUUUCUAUCAUACAAAAAUCUGACAUUUCUGUCACUAGUCAAUGUGUGCGUGCAAUGCACGUUAAUUUGGAAGUAUAGUAAGUGCAUGCGGAUAUUAAAUAGGAUAUUAUUUGCGUGUUAUUAUAUAAUUAGCACUAUAUUUGGCAUGAAAUUAACUACACGCUAAACGUGUUGAGCGCUUGACAUGUCGUUGGAUUGACACGAUUUGAUGACCGAGAUUAAUUAGAUCUGCCCUUUUGGGUCUUUUUAUAUUGGUAUAGAUACAAAAAUAUUUUGUAACGAAAUAUUGUCUGACAAAAUCCUGACAAAAAUGACAAAUUGUCAGAGAAUAUAGCAUGAACAGUAUGUUGUAUAUACGGACAAAUUUGUUUUAUUACGUCCACAACAACAACAACAUCAUGAAAGUCAUUUCUUCGCAAAUGAUUUAUAAGAGUGCAACAAUAAAUCUACUUCGUUCCCAAAAGGUUUCAGGUUUUUUUGACUUUCUUACAAAUUACUACGUAUUUUUAAAAAAAAUCAGGUGUAAUUACACCCGAGAGCCACAAGCUCCCGUCCGCUAUAAACCCACUAUUAUACUCGCUCUCAGAGGCUGUAGAUAUCUAUUGGGCGUGUAGGCUAGGGAGAUGGAGAGAGAGAGGGCAGUACUAGUAGUAGUACUAGUAGAUUGCAAAGCAAUGAAUGAGAUAGCUACCCCAUUCAAAAGGGGCCAGCUCUGCGUGCCAGGCUAGGAGGGACUUGCUUGGCCCUGGCCCUGGGGCCCAAAUCAUUACCAGCUGGGGCUCCCAGAUCUGAUCAUCGCCAUGGAGCUAGAGAGAGACAGAGAGGACUGCCAGUUCUGUGGUCAUCAUGGCUUUAACACCUACUGUAGACCCACCCCAGAGAGAGAACAAGUGAGGAAAAAGUCUCUUCUUUCUCACACCCCUAAGCACAUACAUUGGGAGAUGCGCUGUGUUACUACUACCCUUGUUACCCACACCUACCAGCCACCACACACACAGAGCCAAACCAGAGGACCAGUGCUGAUGUUGCCAUCAUCUCUACUCCCAAUGACUCUCACAGGCCAUGCCAUGCCAUGCCAUGCCAGCUGGCAGAACAAACCUAUUGUGCUAAUGCUGACAAAUAGUAGAAGAAUGCCAGAGCAAGCUAGGAUUAGUGAUUCUUGACAACAUACCAUAAUACUCCAGCUCAUUACAGAAAGGAAUAACCAACAGCAGAGCAAAAUACAAAGAAAGAAAGAAAGAAUGUUGGAUUGUUUUAUUCAUGAUGAUGAAAAUGUAUCGGCACCACAGACCAGCAGAAGCAGCAAAAUGGCAUCCAAUUAACACCACCAACCUUUCCCCUCUCUACACCAAUUACCAAUUGAUUUUCCUUUUUAUCGCUAAAAUGACAGUAACACAACAACUAGCCCUGUCUGUACCCUCCUCCCCCUCCUCCUCACCACCUCCACUAAAUGGAUUCUCAUGUUUUGCUAUAUGGUAUAUACACGUAACGAAAACCGCAACCAGCAACCCCCUCCCCCUCUCCCUCUAUGAUAUUCUAAACUAAACAACAUUACAAACAUUGCCCUCCACGGGCGCUGCUGGUUUACGGCCUAAGAUGUAAAGCAAAAUGUAUCAAAAUACAGGGAGCCAAAGAGCCUGAAAGGUGUAAGAAUUGAAUGGGGUCGGCAAUAUCAUAUGUUCUCAACGGCAAGGGAUGGGAUGGGUAAUGAUGGGUGGAAAGCAGAAAACUGGGGGAGGCUCAUUAUGCUCGAUGCUCAAUGGGGAAUUAUUAUGCAGCUGGUGAAAUGCUGUGGAGGCUGGUGUUUUUGCAAAUUUGGGACCUAAAGCAAGAGACUGGCUGGCAGAGGAAAGGGGAGCCCUAUGUACCAACCGAAAGCUUCUCAAGAACUGGAUACCGCAUAGUGUCUCACUGAGUAGCGCAGGACAUGCAAGGUAGGGCAGAUCAUCUCCUUCACUCUCGCCCCAUCUUUGUAUAUCUUGAAUGUAGGGACUAUCCGCACGUUCUCUGCCUUUGCCACCGUUGGGCUAUCUU
rnacentral:lncRNA from 1 species